GACGAACGCUGGCGGCGUGCUUAACACAUGCAAGUCGAACGGAAAGGCCCUGCUUUUGUGGGGUGCUCGAGUGGCGAACGGGUGAGUAACACGUGAGUAACCUGCCCUUGACUUUGGGAUAACUUCAGGAAACUGGGGCUAAUACCGGAUAGGAGCUCCUGCUGCAUGGUGGGGGUUGGAAAGUUUCGGCGGUUGGGGAUGGACUCGCGGCUUAUCAGCUUGUUGGUGGGGUAGUGGCUUACCAAGGCUUUGACGGGUAGCCGGCCUGAGAGGGUGACCGGCCACAUUGGGACUGAGAUACGGCCCAGACUCCUACGGGAGGCAGCAGUGGGGAAUAUUGCACAAUAGGCGGAAGCCUGAUGCAGCAACGCCGCGUGCGGGAUGACGGCCUUCGGGUUGUAAACCGCUUUCGCCUGUGACGAAGCGUGAGUGACGGUAAUGGGUAAAGAAGCACCGGCUAACUACGUGCCAGCAGCCGCGGUGAUACGUAGGGUGCGAGCGUUGUCCGGAUUUAUUGGGCGUAAAGGGCUCGUAGGUGGUUGAUCGCGUCGGAAGUGUAAUCUUGGGGCUUAACCCUGAGCGUGCUUUCGAUACGGGUUGACUUGAGGAAGGUAGGGGAGAAUGGAAUUCCUGGUGGAGCGGUGGAAUGCGCAGAUAUCAGGAGGAACACCAGUGGCGAAGGCGGUUCUCUGGGCCUUUCCUGACGCUGAGGAGCGAAAGCGUGGGGAGCGAACAGGCUUAGAUACCCUGGUAGUCCACGCUGUAAACGGUGGGUACUAGGUGUGGGGUCCAUUCCACGGGUUCCGUGCCGUAGCUAACGCUUUAAGUACCCCGCCUGGGGAGUACGGCCGCAAGGCUAAAACUCAAAGGGAUUGACGGGGCCCCGCACAAGCGGCGGAGCAUGCGGAUUAAUUCGAUGCAACGCGUAGAACCUUACCUGGGUUUGACAUGGAUCGGGAGUGCUCAGAGAUGGGUGUGCCUCUUUUGGGGUCGGUUCACAGGUGGUGCAUGGCUGUCGUCAGCUCGUGUCGUGAGAUGUUGGGUUAAGUCCCGCAACGAGCGCAACCCUUGUUCACUGUUGCCAGCACGUUAUGGUGGGGACUCAGUGGAGACCGCCGGGGUCAACUCGGAGGAAGGUGGGGAUGACGUCAAGUCAUCAUGCCCCUUAUGUCCAGGGCUUCACGCAUGCUACAAUGGCUGGUACAGAGAGUGGCGAGCCUGUGAGGGUGAGCGAAUCUCGGAAAGCCGGUCUCAGUUCGGAUUGGGGUCUGCAACUCGACCUCAUGAAGUCGGAGUCGCUAGUAAUCGCAGAUCAGCAACGCUGCGGUGAAUACGUUCCCGGGGCUUGUACACACCGCCCGUCAAGUCAUGAAAGUUGGUAACACCCGAAGCCGGUGGCCUAACCGUUGUGGGGGAGCCGUCGAAGGUGGGACUGGUGAUUAGGACU
rnacentral:rRNA from 1 species